GGGCAUUCAGAAGGCUUGCUCUCUGGGCUACCAGCAGAGAACCCGGUUUCUCCCUCCCCGCCCAGGGGAAAGUCCCCGGACCCGUGGCAGAAAGUGCCCUGGUUGAAUCCAGUGUCGACCCGCAGCUGCGCCGCUAACGGGCGGAGACGUUCAAGCGAACCGAGCCCGGUGCUCCGCGGGUCGACCUUGUCAGCGUUCAUAGUCAUGCAAGUGAGCCGUGACGCUCAAACAUAACGGGGCUCAUUCUCGGAAUGCA
ensembl:ribozyme RNase_MRP RNase MRP